UACGGAGGGCGCAAGCGUUGUUCGGAAUCACUGGGCGUAAAGCGCGUGUAGGCGUCUUGGCAAGUCGGAUGUGAAAUCCCGAGGCUCAACCUCGGAACUGCACUCGAAACUGCCUGGCUCGAGUCCCGGAGAGGGUGGCGGAAUUCCCGGUGUAGGGGUGAAAUCCGUAGAUAUCGGGAGGAACACCAGUGGCUAAGGCGGCCACCUGGACGGUGACUGACGCUGUGACGCGAAAGCGUGGGGAGCAAACAGG
rnacentral:rRNA from 1 species